UAAUGACUGGACUUGAUCUUAGAGGUCUUUUCCAACCUAAAUGAUUCUGUGAUCUUAUUUCCUAAGUGCCUCUGAGCUGGGAUUCAGAAGCCUCGCCACAAUGAAGUGAUGUGAUCUAUAUAGCAAAUAUAUUUCACUGCCUGCACAGGAAAAAGUGCUUUGUGAGGCACCUAAGCACCUAAGAUCAUUCCAUGAUCAAGAGAGAGAAAAGAGGGUCUGAGAGGUGCACAUAGUACAUGACAUUUAUCACCUUCUGGAAGUGUU